ensembl:lncRNA
GGGGAAGAGAGGAGGGAGGAGGAAGGAGCUCUGAAGGGAUGAGAGAGGCGGCCAGGGCUCCGGGCCGAAGCAGCGCGCGGCCGGGGACCAGGGGAGCUGAGGCACGGCUUUUGCCCCCUCACCCGUUUUCUGUCCCCUUCCAUCCUUUCCGUCCACCCUCCAGCUUGAGGAGGGGAUUUAUUCAAAUUUUAUUUAAAUCUCUUAUCUCCAGAAGGUCGCGCGCUGAGGGGAGGGGGAGAGGGCGGGGGCGCGCGCAGGGUCGGGGGCGAGGCCCAGCAGCUUCCUAUAUCCCCCUCGGCUCGCCCGGUGUAGUAGCGCAGGGGGCCGCAGACCAGGGGCGGGCCCAGGGGAGGGGGGCAGAUUACAGGGACCCCCCCCCCUCCCCGGGAACGGGCGGUGGGCGGGGCUUGCACCCCGGAAACGGUGGGGGUCCCAGGCCUGGCCCUGGACCCCUGGGCAUUGGGCAUCGGGAAGGGGCCAGUUAAAGGGCCGGGGGCGCUGGGGAGAGGCGGGGCGGUGUGGGGGGAGGGGAGCUGGGACUCGGACCCCCGGACUGAGUGGGGCCCGGGCAGAAGCUGUGCACUCUGCGCCCGAGGAGCCCCCGUUGGCCUGGGGGAACUGAGGGACUGAGCCCCCCAGAGCAGGACCUCCCCCUGGAAGGGCCGCGCCGCAGCCCGUGGGAGGGCCUCGCCCCCGGCGCCCCCCAUCUCCACUCGCCGCCGUCCUGGCCUCCGCCGGAGAGAGGGGCCGAGCACCUUCAGGGGGCCGUGGACCCCGUCGUUCUAAGCGUUUCGCGUCCCGCGCCGCCCGGCCCCCUCGCCGCCGAUGGCCGCGGCGUGCCGGGAGCUGCCAAGAAGGGAGAGAUGGCUCUCAGGACACGUGUGAGCCCUCGGCGUUGCUGACGCCCCCAAUGUCGUCGAGUAGCUGGGCGCCACGGGGCCGGAGCGCGCGGAUGCCGAACCUGCUGCUGCUGCUGGGCCUCUCUGCGAACUGAGUGCGGGGACUGCCCCUUCUGCCGAGACAUGAAGAAAUUCAGGGGGGCCCGGGCACACGAAGCAGUCGUGUCUGCUUCAGCAGUGCACUGCUGUGAGUUCUGCCCCUGCUGCAGGGGUGCACCCUUUCCCAGCUGACCUCAGCACCUAUCUGGGGGGCUGGGGGUGACUCCUUCGAGGGUCAUGUAAAGUUGCCAUAGAUUCGCUCCUUCGUUCACUGGCUGGUUCACAUAUCUGCCAGGCCCAUUUCUGUCCUCAGCUUCAAGCUGGGGCCAAUGUUAGGGUCCACAGAAGAAUUCCUCCCACACCCUACUUCAGGCCUUUCCCAACUUUCAGAGGCAGAGACCCACAGAAAGCUCGGGUUCCCUUGGACACCCUCCCUGGAGCCAAGAAUGGGUCCUUGCCUUCUUCGGCCUCCUUUUCACCUGUGAGAGUGGUCUUGGAUUUGAAGCUAGUCUUA